rnacentral:rRNA from 1 species
GAUGAACGCUAGCGAUAGGCUUAACACAUGCAAGUCGAGGGGCAGCACAAGGUAGCUUGCUAUCUGGGUGGCGACCGGCGCACGGGUGCGUAACGCGUAUGCAACUUGCCCUAUACAGGAGGAUAACCCGUCGAAAGACGGACUAAUACUGCGUAUGCUCACAACUUGGCAUCAAGGGGUGAGGAAAGAAACUCGGUAUAGGAUAGGCAUGCGUCCCAUUAGCUUGUUGGUGAGGUAACGGCACACCAAGGCAACGAUGGGUAGGGGCACUGAAAGGUUUAUCCCCAACACGAGUACUGAGACAAGGAACAGACUACGACGGCAGGAAGCAGUGAGGAAUAUUGGUCAACGGGCGCGAGACUGAACCAGCCAAGUCGCGUGAAGGAGGACUGUCUUAUGGAUCGGAAACUUCUUUUAUACGGGAAUAACAAGCGUCACGGGUGACUCCCUGCAGGUACCGGAUGAAUAAGCAUCGGCUAACUCCGUG